GAUGAACGCUGGCGGCGUGCCUAAUACAUGCAAGUCGAGCGAACAGACGAGGAGCUUGCUCCUCUGACGUUAGCGGCGGACGGGUGAGUAACACGUGGAUAACCUACCUAUAAGACUGGGAUAACUUCGGGAAACCGGAGCUAAUACCGGAUAAUAUAUUGAACCGCAUGGUUCAAUAGUGAAAGACGGUUUUGCUGUCACUUAUAGAUGGAUCCGCGCCGCAUUAGCUAGUUGGUAAGGUAACGGCUUACCAAGGCAACGAUGCGUAGCCGACCUGAGAGGGUGAUCGGCCACACUGGAACUGAGACACGGUCCAGACUCCUACGGGAGGCAGCAGUAGGGAAUCUUCCGCAAUGGGCGAAAGCGUGACGGGGCAACGCCGCGUGAGUGAUGAAGGUCUUCGGAUCGUAAAACUCUGUUAUUAGGGAAGAACAAAUGUGUAAGUAACUAUGCACGUCUUGACGGUACCUAAUCAGAAAGCCACGGCUAACUACGUG
rnacentral:rRNA from 1 species